GGCGUGCGGUAGGCCUUGGUCUUGCGGCGCCCUUUGGGCUCCUUCUGCGGUUGGAAAAGAGGCAUCAACCUGCUCCGCUCAGCUUGCUGGUUCUGUGGAUUAUUUAGUUGGAUUGGCUUUGGUUUUGCCAGGAUCGGGUGGAUUUGAUUCAAGUUUGGAGGAGCUCAAGCAAAUGGCGUCUGGUUAGGUCUGCAUGCAGGCUCUGCC